GACGUUUUCCAGCCUCUCCCCUCAACUGAGUCACCAGUUCAUAACACAUGGAGAGACCGGUCGCGCCCGUUGGGUCUCCUUUAGAAACGAGACCUCCAGAAGUGUUAACGGGUAGCGUGCCGCCGAUCUUGGUUGCACCACUUCCAACGAACUGUCCUCCUUCACCGAUCCUGCAAAAACGCAUCAUCUCGCAUUGAUAGAUCUCACUAAAGGAAGUUGCAUCGUGGAUUUCUGCCACGUCC
rnacentral:misc_RNA from 1 species